rnacentral:rRNA from 1 species
GGGGGCAAGCCUAAUGCAGCCAUCCGGCGUGUAUGAAGNGGCCCUCCGGUUUGUAAAGUACUUCAGCGAGGAGGAAGGCGUUGUGGUUAAUAACCCGCAGCAAUUGACGUUACUCGCAGAAGAAGCACGGGCUAACUCCGUGCCAGCAGCCGCGGUAAUACGAGGGGUGCAAGCGUUAAUCUGAAAUUACUGGGCGUAAAGCGCACGCAGGCGGUCUGUCAAGUCGGAUGUGAAAUCCCCGGGCUCAACCUGGGAACUGCAUCCGAAACUGGCAGGCUAGAGUCUUGUAGAGGGGGGUAGAAUUCCAGGUGUAGCGGUGAAAUGCGUAGAGAUCUGGAGGAAUACCGGUGGCGAAGGCGGCCCCCUGGACAAAGACUGACGCUCAGGUGCGAAAGCGUGGGGAGCAAACAGGAUUAGAUACCCUGGUAGUCCACGCCGUAAACGAUGUCGACUUGGAGGUUGUGCCCUUGAGGCGUGGCUUCCGGAGCUAACGCGUUAAGUCGACCGCCUGGGGAGUACGGCCGCAAGGUUAAAACUCAAAUGAAUUGACGGGGGCCCGCACAAGCGGUGGAGCAUGUGGUUUAAAUUCGAUGCAACGCGAAGAACCUUACCUACUCUUGACAUCCAGAGAACUUAGCAGAGAUGCUUUGGUCCUUCGGGAACUCUGAGACAGGUGCUGCAUGGCUGUCGUCAGCUCGUGUUGUGAAAUGUUGGGUUAAGUCCCGCAACGAGCGCAACCCUUAUCCUUUGUUGCCAGCGGUUCGGCCGGGAACUCAAAGGAGACUGCCAGUGAUAAACUGGAGGAAGGUGGGGAUGACGUCAAGUCAUCAUGGCCCUUACGAGUAGGGCUACACACGUGCUACAAUGGCAUAUACAAAGAGAAGCGACCUCGCGAGAGCAAGCGGACCUCAUAAAGUAUGUCGUAGUCCGGAUUGGAGUCUGCAACUCGACUCCAUGAAGUCGGAAUCGCUAGUAAUCGUGGAUCAGAAUGCCACGGUGAAUACGUUCCCGGGCCUUGUACACACCGCCCGUCACACCAUGGGAGUGGGUGCAAAAGAAGUAGGUAGCUUAACCUUCGGGAGGGCGCUACCACUGGCUCAAAGGUGCACAGCAGUCGACGGUAGCACAGAGGAGCUUGCUCCUUGGGUGACGAGUGGCGGACGGGUGAUUAAUGUCUGGGAAACUGCCCGAUGGAGGGGGAUAACUACUGGAAACGGUGCCUAAUACCGCAUAACGUCGCAAGACCAAAGAGGGGGACCUUCGGGCCUCUUGCCAUCGGCAUAACGUCGCAAGACCAAAGAGGGGGACCUUCGGGCCUCUUGCCAUCGGAUGUGCCCAAAUGGGAUUAUCUAGUAGGUGGGGUAACGGCUCACCUAGGCCACGAUCCCUAGCUGGUCUGAGAGGAUGACCACCCACACUGAAACUGAGCGACGAUCCCUAGCUGGUCUGAGAGGAUGACCACCCACACUGGAACUGAGACACGGCCCAUACUCCUACGGGAGGCAGCAGUGGU